rnacentral:lncRNA from 1 species
CGCAGAUGCCAUCGGCGAUUAAAUGGCACAAAGUCAAAAGGAGAAGCGAACAGGACACGCAGGAAUAAACAAAGUUGAAUGGAGAGCUUCCACUUUAAAGUUUAUUUCCCUCUCACCCAGGAAACCCACAAACACGCUGAAAGGACACAUUCAUAUCAUGGCAAUAGGAAGUGCAUAAGCACAAAACCCGAAAGGCUUCAUCAGCAAUGGGAAACAGGACGAAAGUCUGAGGGCAGGGGCAGCUCCCUCCCUCCUCCCUGGGGUUCUGUGCAGUUCCAGGGACUGCAGCUAUGUCACAGCAGCACCGACACGACAGGGGGAGGUGGGAAUCCGUGCAAAACGAGUUUCCUUACCAGCACGAUUCCGCAAAACGCAGAGCCCCGAACGUGCAGCA